GCCCGUGUAGCUCAGUUGGUAGAGCAGCUGUCUUGUAAACAGCAGGUCGCAGGUUCAACUCCUGUCGCGGGCU
rnacentral:tRNA from 2 species